rnacentral:rRNA from 1 species
GCGUAUUGGGAAAUGCGCCUCGGACUAAA